rnacentral:rRNA from 1 species
GAUGAACGCUGACAGAAUGCUUAACACAUGCAAGUCUUUGGCGAAGCUGUGCUUGCACAGCCUAGCCAAGGCGGACGGGUGAGUAACGCGUAAGGAACUUGCCCUGCAGUCAGGGAUAACAGACGGAAACGACUGAUAAGACCUGGUAAAGUCAGGCGGACUCAUGUCCAGCCUGAUGAAAAGAGAUGCUGCAGGAGAGCCUUGCGUCCUAUUAGCUUGUUGGUGGGGUAACGGCCCACCAAGGCGAUGAUAGGUAGCCGGCCUGAGAGGGUGGACGGCCAAAAGGGGACUGAUAUCCGGCCCUUACUCCUACGGGAGGCAGCAGGGGGGAAUUUUGGAAAAUGGGGGCAACCCUGAUCCAGCAAUUCUGUGUGCACGAUGAAGGUUUUCGGAUUGUAAAGUGCUUUCAGCAGGGAAAAAAAAAGGGCGGUACCUGCAGAAGAAGCGACGGCUAAAUACGU